AAUUAUAGGUGACACGUUCUCUCUCUCUCCAAGCGCGAUCAUCGCGAUUGCCCUCGACUUCGAUAUCCCUCCCUGUCUCUCUCUUCUCACACGUCGCUCGAUCGAUCCUCUCUCCACUUUUGCAGAAACCCUAACCCUGGAUCCAAGCUCUUCCUUCCCCUGGAUCGAUUCUGCUCAUACUCAAUCCUCAUCAUCCUGUACGCCGUAAUCACAAUUACACUCGCAGCCAAGGCGCUUCUUGUUGCAUUCCAAAAGAAGCUUGUCUAUGUCUCCAUUCUCCCUGGCCUCGCUCGAUCGCAUCCCCCAUCAUCCCAGCUCGUUUCCGCUUGCCCCCGCCUCGAUCAUGAGGAUUUAUGACUUCGCUCCUCCGAUGGCGUUCGCCUUUUGGCUUGGUUCAUCAAGCUCUUCCCCAAUUGCAAAGGUUAAGGUUCGGGAUAGGGUUUUAGACUUAUUUUCUUGAUAAUUUGCUUCGUUGGUUUGAUCGAGAACCAAGGUUUUGAAGUCAAUACCUUAGAGUUAAGGCUUGGGUUUGUCAGGUUCUAUUUGAAAAUUUUGAUUAUUUUUUUCUGGAGGGAGUUGUUUCUCUGGAGUUUGAAGAUUGGUAUGCUGAUUUCAAUGGCGAUCCGACACGAUAAAGUUAAGGCUCAACGGAGGGUCUCCCUUGAGGCGGCGAUUGUCUAAGAGAGGGUUGAAGAACCGAUUCAGGCUCUAGUUUCAGCCUUUUGCAGUUCAAAUUUGGAGUUCGUGAACCACCGCCUUCCGGUGACAAAGUUCUACAUCAGCAAUGCCUUGAAAUAUAUCCAAAUGUCCGCUAUGAUAAGGAACUGGGCAAUAAUUUCUCGUCAUCAUGAGGUGCAAGCUACGUGUGAGUGCGAGUGUUUUUUAAAAAGCUAUUGCAAGCAUUCGGCGAGUGAAGCAAAGCUUUGGAGGAUGCUGGCAGAUAGUGAGGAGCUUAAGCUUGGUAAGUAAGGGAGAAAUCAAUUCUAGAGAUGUAUCAGAGAGAUGAUGAGGUUUGAGUCGGGUAGUAAGAGUACUUUAAAAUGGAGAAGGGUCUAAUUUUUAGCCUUCCAAAAUUGUUACUUUUAUUCUUGUGCAAGUUGAAAAUUGUGAGCAUGUUUGUAUUUGUAUAUCAAUCAAAUUUUCCUAUUUGGAUA